GACGAACGCUGGCGGCGUGCCUAACACAUGCAAGUCGAACGGAAAGGCCCUGCUUUUGUGGGGUGCUCGAGUGGCGAACGGGUGAGUAACACGUGAGUAACCUGCCCUUGACUUUGGGAUAACUUCAGGAAACUGGGGCUAAUACCGGAUAGGAGCUCCUGCUGCAUGGUGGGGGUUGGAAAGUUUCGGCGGUUGGGGAUGGACUCGCGGCUUAUCAGCUUGUUGGUGGGGUAGUGGCUUACCAAGGCUUUGACGGGUAGCCGGCCUGGGAGGGUGACCGGCCACAUUGGGACUGGGAUACGGCCCAGACUCGUACGGGAGGCAGCAGUGGGGAAUAUUGCACAAUAGGCGGAAGCCUGAUGCAGCAACGCCGCGUGCGGGAUGACGGCCUUCGGGUUGUAAACCGCUUUCGCCUGUGACGAGGCGUGAGUGACGGUAAUGGGUAAAGAAGCACCGGCUAACUACGUG
rnacentral:rRNA from 1 species